GGAGCCGUAGUUCAGUUGGUUAGAACGCCAGCCUGUCACGUUGGAGGUCGCGGGUUCGAGCCCCGUCGGCUCCGCCA
rnacentral:tRNA from 2 species